UAUAUAAAGAUGCUGUCCAUUUGAAUGCUGU
rnacentral:piRNA from 1 species